rnacentral:rRNA from 1 species
UACGUAGGGUGCAAGCGUUGUCCGGAAUUAUUGGGCGUAAAGAGCUCGUAGGCGGUUUGUCGCGUCUGCUGUGAAAACCGGAGGCUCAACCUCCGGCCUGCAGUGGGUACGGGCAGACUAGAGUGCGGUAGGGGAGAUUGGAAUUCCUGGUGUAGCGGUGGAAUGCGCAGAUAUCGGGAAGAACACCCGUGGCGAAGGCGGUUCUCUGGGACGGUACUGACGCUGAGACGCGAAAGCGUGGGGAGCGAACAGG